GACAGAGCUCUCUCUCUCUCUCUCUCUCUCUCUCUCUCUCUCUCUCUCUCUCUCUCUCUCUCUCACAAUAACAAUGAGAGUUUUUUUUAAUUAAAUAAAAUUAUAAAGAAAACAAUGAAAAAUAAAACAGCGUAUAGCCAUUUGCCUGCUUCCUUUUAAAACUAAAUGUGAACAAACUGGUGUACACAUUUCAAAUUCUGUUUUACACUCUAUGUGCUUCUCCGAAUGGACUUCACUGAAAAGGGGGCUAGAAGUUGCCGAAAAACGCAAGCUGACCUCGUUGCACCCUCACUUAAGGCUUCCAGACUCCAGGAGUCUCCAUCCUUUUCAAUGACGGGCCUUCCUACCUGUGAUCCAGCUACCCAGUCAACCUACUGCCACUCCUGUCACCACCACGACCUUGUGAUCUCACUCCUGAUUUUAGCAAGAAGUGACCCAUCCUCCUGGGGCUCCUCUGUAGCUCACUCGCCAUCCCUGAAGACCCUCCCCCAGCCUUCCCUGCCUGCCUUCAGCACCACUCCCACUUCUCAAGUCUGGUGUUUUAUCUCCCUUUGGAGUGUUUGGAAACUUGCCUGGGUUAGAGCAGCGGCUCUCUCUCACACACACAGCCCUUGUCUGACCUGUCUCACUACACAGACAAACUGAAUUAUUCAUCAGUAGGAGCGAGAGCUGCUAAAACCACCAGCCAGGGUCUGGUGAGGAUGCUUCUGUGCCUCUUUUUGAUGCAUUGAGCUAUUUUUCCAAGUUGCUGAAAUUCCAUCAAAUGGGAGUGGGGGCCAAGCUGAUGGCCAGAGAUAAAAGCCCUGUGCUUUUGAAGCUUGACUUCACCAUUUCCAGGUUUGUGAUUUGUGUGUCUGGCCCAAAUGCUUGAUUUCCCAGGGGUUCCCAACUCCGGUGCAUGGGAAAGGGGAUUGUUUUCUCCUCUGGUGUCACAGAUGUCUUUGCCCCUGAAGAAAGGUCUUCAUAAAGUGCCUUGGAGAAUCUGGAGAAAGAGGCUGAUGGUUUUGCCCAGUGUUCUCACCAACAAUUAGCCAAGGGACACAGCAUGCAUACUCAGUUCUGAAGGUGGGACACACAGAGACGAAAAUAUGACACAGGGAGGAGGUAAGCAGUCCUUAGAGGACUUCAUGCUAGAGACACCAUGCUGCACUUAGGAAGUUUCUAUUCUAGAAGGGUAGACAGGUCCAAGAGAGACACAUCCAUAAAACACUAACUACCGCUCCCCAAAACGACUCCAAUGUGGUGACACAUCCUUCCGUGGAGAAUGCUUAGACAGAAACAGAGGAAAAAAUACAUGUGAGUGCCUGUCAGACCACUGUUCUUGGUCACUGACUCCAGCCCUGUCUGGCUUAAUAGCCGAAAACCCACAAAUAUUGGGCUCUGGGCCAGACCUCUUCCCCAAGGGAAGAGAGGAAAAGUCCAUGACCACAGAUCCAGGCCUCUGGCCUCUGCUUUAUGAAGCUGCUACAUGUUGAGGACCAAGAGCCUCCAAAAGCCAGAGUCCUGUCCUAGAUCAUGCAGGUCAAACAAGUCCUCUUCAGAAAGAGACAUAUGAGAUGACCAUAGUGACCUGGGAUGCUAGGUGUGUGUUUGCCCACUCCCUAUAGGCUAAUGGUCUCCCCACCCUAGUGUGCUUACAGAGAUCUGACAGCCCUGUUCUGCCAGCCCCAGAUGAGCUAGGAGAGGGAUGGGAAGAAAAGAGGGUGGUACUAACCUGGUGAUUUCCAUCUUAGUCACUGAACUUCUGGAUGUGGGUAGGAAGCCAG
ensembl:lincRNA